CCUCCUCUUUCCAUUUCUCUCUGUCUUAUCCAACAAUGACGAUGACAUCAAGAACAACAAUAACUACAACAAUAAAACAACAAGGGCAACAAAAGGGAAUAAAUAAAAUAAUUUAAAAAAAUUAUUUAUUGGCGGAUUAAUGAUUUACAAUCAACAGUAAAAUUCAAUAGUUUGUACAUGUGUAACGUUUCUCAGUUUUCCACAUUUGCAUUCAACUCCCACUAGGUCCUCCUCACCAUCAUGUUCCAGGACCUGAACCCCCAACCCCAACCCCCAGAAUCUUACUUUGGUACAAUCCACCAAACAGAUGUCCUUUUUUCCUCUUCUCCCUCUGGGUCUUGAUGGAGUUGGAGUUCAGAGCCCUCUGGUCAUCUUCCCCUAACAUUUCUCCCCCUCUGGGAAUAUGGAUCAAAAUUCUUUUUGGGGUAUAGAAGGUAAAAGGUUUGGCUUCUGUAAUUGUUUCUCCACUGGACAUGGGCAUUGGCAGGUCAGUCCAUACCCCCCUGCCUGUUUCUAUCUUUCUAAGGGCAGAUUUUCUUAAGCUCUUGAACUCUAACUUCCUUGUCUGGAAAAUGAGAUAUUGAUAGGUCUCUGUUAGCUUUAUUUAACCUUACCUGCAAUCUUUCCUACAUUUAAAAACAUGUAAGUUGUAUUGACUUUUUUAAAAUAUGGUUGUUGCUUUGCUUUGUUGUUGUUGUUUUUAAGUUUUUUUUUUAAAUAUUUAUUUAUUCCCUUUUGUUGCCGUUGCUGUUUUAUUGUUGUAGUCAUUAUUGAUUUCGUUGUUGUUGGAUAGGACAGAGAGAAAUGGAGAGGGGAGGGGAAGACAGAGAGAGGGAGAGAAAGAGAGACACCUGCAGACCUGCUUCACUGCUUAUGAAGCUACUCUCCUGCAGGUGGGGAGCCAGGGGCUCGAACUGGGAUCCUUACACCCUUGCGCUUUGCACCACCUGCGCUUAACCUGCUGUGCUACAGCCCGACUCCCUGUUUUUAAGUAUUUUAUUAUCUUUAUUUAUUGGAUAAGACAGAGAGAAAUUAAGAGGGAAGGGAGAAAUUUGUGAGAGAGACACCUGCAGCCCUGCUUCACCACUCGAAAAGCUUUCCCACUGCACGUGGGGACUGAGGGCUUGAACUCAGGUCCUUCCGCUUUGUAAUGUGUGCGUAACCAGGUGCACCACCACCCAGCCCCAUAUUAACUUUUUUUAAAAAUAUGUUUGUUUACUUAUUUUUUUCCAAAAGUUUUAUUUAUGGAGCCAGGGCACUGUGCAUGGAUGAAUUUUACUGCUUUGGGCUUAAAUUUUAUUUAGAGAUAGUGUGUGUGUGACCUGCUGUGGUCUCUCUCUUACUGUCAGUUACCAGAAUUUCCUCUGGUGCUGUGGCUCUCCCAUGUAGUGCUGUAGCUGGCUGAUUUGAAGGGUUCUUGGAUAUACCGGGCACCUCAGGUCUUGUCAAGGAAUAUAGAUUUCUUUUAUAUUUAUUUAUUUAUUUUUCCCUUUGUUGCCCUGGCUGUUUUUCAUUGUUAUUGCAGUUAUUAUUGUUGUUGUUAUUGAUAUUGUCAUUGUUAGAUAGGACAGAGAGAAAUAGAGAAAGGAGGGGAAGCCAAGAGAGGGGGAGAAAAAGACAGACACCUGCAGACUUGCUUCACCUCCUGUGAAGGGACUCCCCUGCAGGUGGGGAGCCAGGGGCUCGAACCAGGAUCCUUAUGCCAGUCCUUGCACUUUGCGCCACGUGUGCUUAACCUACUGCACUACCACCCGACUCCCAGAUUUAUUUUUAAAAGGGUCCCCCCACCCCUAAAAGAAGGAGUGUGGGCUUAAUCUUGGGAAAUGAGAAAAAGCCUCAUUCCAAGCUCUACUAGAAAAUGUAUUUAGUGAAAGAAAGGAAUAAAAAUAAAGGCUUGAGAGCUGGGGAGAUAACAUCAUGGUUAUGCAAAAAGACUUUCAUGCCUGAGGCUCUGAUACCCCAGAUUCAGUCCCUAACACCAUCUAGACCAGAGCUGAACAGUGCUCUGGUCUCUCUCAGUCUUUCUCUCUGUCUCUCUCAUUAAAAAAAUAAUUUUAAAAAAUGACAUGCAUAAAGAACUUACUUGAAAAGAUGAGAUCAUAUCCUCUCAAGAAAGGAAGGAUAGUCAUGGUUAGAGUAAGUCUGUGUUGAGCUAAGGGGCUUCUUGGUUUAUAAAUGUUCUCAGUUCAACACUCCUAACCCCCUGCUCCUUGACUCACCAAUUCAUAUUUAUACAGGUGAAUAUGGGCACACUGUUUUUAGACAUUUGUUAUUUUUUAUAAGGGAGAAACUAACUUUACUCUCACGUAACUCAUUCAGGGGCUGGAACUUAGGCCUAAAGCACCUCUCCAACUUAGGAUAAUUUCUUAUUUUCUAACAAACCUUUGUAUCAGAAAAGCUCUCAGGAGAAAAUAAUUGUUAAAAAGACAGUCUUUAGGGGGCCAGGCAGUGUGGCACAUGGGUUGAGUCUACAGAUGUUUCACUUUAUCUCUCAUUCUCCUCUUCCCUCUCAAUUUCUCUCUGUCCUAUCACAUAAAAGAAAUGGGAAAAAGGGGAGUGGGUAGGAAUGGUUGCUGGGAACAGUAGAUUCACUGUGCAGGCACUGAGCCCUAGCAAUAACCCUGGUGGCAAAAAAAAAAAAAAAAAAAAAUCAAAAUUAAAUAGUCCUCUGUUAAAAAAAAAAUUAAAACCUAUUUAAAUGCCAUAUCUUUUUCUUCGUCUUUGUUUUUUAACCUCAUGAGACAUUAACCCUCAAUUUCCCAUUAGUAGAAAACUAAAAACUAAUUCCUCCAGAGUUCAGAGAGUCAAGGUUUUGAUCUUGAAUGCUAGGCUAGGCUUUGAGCACGCAUGCAUUUGCUCCAGUGCUAAUCUUUCAUUUGGCAGGCCCGUUUUCUCCAAUAAAAUCUCUGAAUUCAAACCUGAUUUUUAGUUUUCUUUGUGACACCAUGGCAUUUAAUCACUGUAGUAAUCAAAAAUUCUUCUAAAAAUAAGAAAAGCGGGCUACACAAAAUACAUAUUUGGACCCUAAUUUCUCUCUGUGUGUGUGUGUGUGUGUGUGUGUGUCUCCUAUUUUCAGAAGUUAAAUAAGCUUGCCAGGCUAAUUUUAUAGCAGAAAAACAUUUUACUGUGCUGCUGGAAGAACCUUCAGCCCUGUUCACUUUGGUAGUAAACUAAUUUUUAUCCUUAAAAGAAAGAAGGAGGAAAGAUUGAGUUAGUACCCAAGGCCUGAACUUUAUUUGGCCUCGAUGCAAGUCAGAACAGAUAGAAAUGGGGAGAGGUCAGGAGGGACAUUAGAGAGGCUGUCUUUGAGUAUUUUUAACUAUUAUUAAAGUUGUCAGAGAUUUUUAAGGGAAGGAGUUGGUAGAUCUUUGCUCCGUACUCACAGAAUCUGAAUUUAGAUAAUAUCACAAGAAAAUAGAAAAAUGGAAGAAAGCUUAUGUCUCCGCCUAUAUCUGUUGGAGGAAAUAUCAUGGUUGUCAGGAGCAGAUAGACCACAGCCGACAUAUUUCAAGACAGUCCCGACUGAAAAUUUGUUCCCAGAAUAGUAUCUGUUGUCUCACUAUUAGUUUAGCAUAUUUGUUUCAUGAAGAAGUUCUGUAGUUGGAUCUGUAAACUGGGUAUAGCCCCAGUGUUUUGGAAAGCCAGUUAUCACUCUCUCAGAGACCCACUUCACACUGCAGAGAGCCAUGUGAGUUUGAUUUGUUCCAGAGUCACAACUGAGCACAGUCCCCUUAUAAAGCCAAUUGUGGAACCACAUCUGCCAUGAGUGUCUGGGGUUCCCAGGGUAAGAAAGCAACUCAUGAACCAGG